UACAGAGGGUGCGAGCGUUGUCCGGAAUCACUGGGCGUAAAGGGCGCGUAGGCGGCCUGAUAAGUAGGGGGUGAAAUCCUGUGGCUUAACCACAGAAUGGCCUUCGAUACUGUUUGGCUUGAGACCGGAAGAGGUUAGUGGAACUGCGAGUGUAGAGGUGAAAUUCGUAGAUAUUCGCAAGAACACCAGUGGCGAAGGCGGCUGACUGGUCCGGUUCUGACGCUGAGGCGCGAAAGCGUGGGGAGCAAACAGG
rnacentral:rRNA from 1 species